CCUUGGAACACCUCCUCCAAGGAAAGCAUGCUCUCCAAACUCUUUUCUGAUGUGGCUAAAGAAAAUAAUGACGAUGAAAAAGCUCCAAGAAGUUAUAGCCAGGGGCCACAGAGAAGAAGUGACAAAAUACACUAAAACACAGAAGUAUCUUUGGUCCCUGAGUCACCACUUGGAGGGGAGCUGAUCAAGAGAGCUGCCUGAUCUACAUCAGACUGUUGCCUGAAUGAAAAAUAAACAGAAAUUCCAAGGUCUUAUCUGAAAAUAUGUUGAGAUAUAUUUUGGAUUCUUUUCCUACUACUGCCUUCACUGUUAAAGAAGAUCUUUAUGACUUUUUUUUUUAGUGGAUGAUGUUGGCUGAUAGGGAAACACAAACUUUGUGAAAAGGAAGAAAGUUGUUCUUUGGAAGAGAAACCAGCACUGCAUUUGAUUGCAUGGCCCUCC